AUGUUUUGCCCCAAUAUUAAUUAAACUCUGAAAAUGUGCGGGACAGUCUGAUCUAUAUUCAGACUCACUAGAAUACGAAAUCGAAACUAGAAUGUUGCCAAUAUGGUAUUGAAUUAAUUAAACGGCCGAAUAACCCCGAACCCGCUUCAUGGACUGGGAAAUGACCGCCACUUACGAAAUGCCAGUUGAAAUUCGACAAGCGCGCACUGAUGACAUAAAAUACCUGAUUGAAUUUACAGAAUCUGAGGGAUGGGACUAUACAUACUUCGACUGCGAAGCCUCGUUGAGGACAGAUUUUACCUUUCUGUAUGUAGCAGUCGACACAUCCGGUACGCCUGUAGGUUUCGGUGGAAUCAGUCAGAUAGCACCUGGUUUAAUGUAUCUUGGACCUUACAUCGUAAAAGAAAGUCAUCGGCAUAAAGGCAUUGGAAGAAAGAUAUGGAAAACAUUACUUAAACGUGCCGACAAAAGCAACAUCUGCCUUGAUGGUGUGUCUGCAAUGGUCGACUGGUAUACAAAGCAGGGUUUCAUAUACGAGUCCUUCAAAAUUCACUGUUACGUUGUUAAGGUGACCAGUGACCUGAUCGCAUUUCCUUUGUCCUCUUGUGAUGUUGUUCCUCUAACAAAAGGCGUGUUACCGCUUUUAAUGGAGUAUGAUAGAAACAUCUACCCGGAUAUUGACCGAGAACGUCUUCUUCGGGCGUGGUUUCAAGGAGCUUCCGUUUUGAUUGCUUUUUUGGAUGGUCACGUGGUGGGAUACGGCAGCAUUCAUGAGCAAUCAAAGGGAAAAUAUGGCAUACGAUUUUUAAGCGCAGAGAAUAUGAAGGUUUUUGAGACCAUAUUAGGUCACAUGUUUACAAAAUUGCCGAAUGAAUCUAUUGUUCAGUUUGCAUUACUUGCAGAUAAAUCAAUGCCGGAGUACUUGAAGGUAAAUGCUGAAAUCACCGGAACAGCACAUCGCAUAUUAAACAAGGAUCACUUAAAGGUCAACAUAAAUAAAUUGUGGAUACAAAGUGUCAGUAAAUUUUGAAACAGAGUGUUCAUUGCAAACCUGAGAACUUACAUAACACGUAACAAAUAUGCUUUUUAUGUCUAGUAUAAUUUAGUGGUUGUAUUUUUAUCAUUUCUCUUAUCAGCCAAGCAAACCUGUGUUAAAUAUGGACAACCUACGGGCUGGCGAUUUAUACAGUGAGUAAUCUAAUACUGUUAAAACUCAUUGAAUAAUAUCUAUGACACCAAAUAUUGCAUACAAACCGCCGUUUAAUUAUUAUACCAACACAAGGCAGAACUGAAAGUCAAAUGAUUAAGUUUGGAUUAAGCGUCCGCUCCAUGUCCUAUUUAUGAUCAAAGUCUGUUACUUGGUCUUCGUUUCCAUUGCAUAUAUUCCACGGCUACUAAACCCUAGCGCCACAACCAAAAAGUUGUUAUAAGGAAAAGAGCUAUCGACAUUUCCAUGGUGCAGCUAUCACCACUUUCAAACUGUAAAUGUUUACAAUUCUGUCUUAUAUUUUUAUUGAUAAAACUUAUUUCAAAAGUCGGAGAAUAUAGUGCUGUGUAAGAACACUUUAACUACAGGGUGACUGUAAUUUCAUUAAAAUGUUAUAAAAAAUUGUGUUGUCAAGAGCUAUUCUCCUGAUUCGCACAAUUGCAUAUUUUGAUAUCUGUCCGUAUUCGAGCUGUAAUUUGAUGCGUAGACACCGUGAUUUUAAAAACAUUAUCACGCAUGCAAAUGGUCUAAAUAUAUACUUACACAGACAAACAUUAGCAGUUACUGUAAUGAAAUCUCCCUUAAAAGAAAUAUGCCAGUAUUUUUUAAGUGGUGGCGCUAUCGCAUCAGUGAUGCUACCAACUUACACUACCUUGUUUUAGUCCUAAAUAUAAGACCUGACAUAACUCAUAUCUCUUUAUAAGUUCAUUUUAAUUGAUAUUUUACAUUUUUUUAUUUUCCAUGUUAUGUCGAAAAAGGCUUUGAUAGUAAAAAUGUAAAAUGUCAGAAUAUUGACUGUUGAACGUCAAAUGACAACUUUUUCACGUCUAAUUAUUUGGACUAUACCUUGUUUAGGAUCUGAACAAAUUGAAAAGUUUUAUUUCUCAUAUACUGGUUUCCCAGUAGUUUCCGGACCGAAAUCGCUAUGUUUUGCCAGUAACUUUCAAACAAAAAAUAGUAGAAACAUAAAAUUUUCACAGAAGAAAGCUAGGUUCUUCAUAAACGCCAUGCAUAAUUCGUAUUACACUUGCGUUCAUUAACACAAAUGUAGGUGAGGCCUCAAAAGGGGCAAUUAAUUCCAUUGAUAUCUCAGUUAUUCCGAGUAGCUUUCCGGACCUUUCAUUGUAACAGUUGUAACCUUUCUGUAAAAGCAAACAUUUCCAAUUUCGUUCUAUAUAUUCAAAAUUAAAACAUAAUUCUAAGGCGUGAUAAUGAUUUGAAAAGUAUAUUUCAAGAAUUUAACAAAUACUGUACAUGUAUUUGUAAUACGCUUAUUGCAGUAACGUCUAAUCACGUUUGAAUGACGUUUGCAACGUCACGCUAAAAAUGACGGAACGUAUUGAGGGAACUGGACAGGUAAUAUUACAAAAAAGAAAUUAAGAACUUUUAAUAUAAUUUACAACUUUUAAAUAAAAAGAACAAGAACGGUCUCAAAAUUGGUAGUCUAACGUACGCCCUGACCACUCGGGUAUGGACAAUGCUGCUAAGCAUUUGAUUGAUCUACGGUAUCGUAGGUAAAUAUCCGUCUAUUUUGGUUCCCAUUUUUAAUCGAUAAUUUAUUGCCGCAGUAUAGUGAAUUGGUCGAUUUUUCUGACUUUCUUUGUUUUAUUUUAUUACUCUCGGAAUGUUUUUACUGUAUCGCCUUCGAAUGGGAGCAUCAAUUGACUAAUGUAUAUCUUCAAGGGGCCUCAAUUUCUGCGCAUGCACACUGUAACUGGAAUUCCCCUGCAGUUGACAAUCGCUUGUGUAAACAAUUACAUCGAAGUAAGUUAAAAAACCGGGAUAUUCAAAUAAUAAAUAAGUUAGUAAUGCUAGGUUUUCGCUGAUAUGUAAAGGCAACAAAGGUCUAGAUGAUAUGAUAUUGUUACCCAGAUGCUUUACGACGGCAUAAAGUCUGUACAACACGAAAUGUAAAAGGUCCGGAAAACUACUUGGGUCCGGAAACUACUGGGAAACCAGUAAACAACAAAACUUCAAUCAAUAAAAAGCACACAGAAAAGACAACAAUAAAGAAUAACACAAUAACACGAAAUAAGAGUGUCCGCCACAUAAUAUUGAAGUGUUCUAGAAAUUUUACCCCUCACUCAUUCUUCUUUCCUUCACUCGGAUUGUUUACUUUCAUUUUUUUUGCAGCCUUUACUGGCGACAACGCAUGAAGUUGGUUGCUGUUUUAGGUUAAAUUCACAAGACAUCAACCCAACAUUACGUAUUGUGCCAGCUUUUCGAUCCAUCCUUCACUUUUGAAGCUGUUUUCCAUGUCGGAACUUUGCCACAGUUUGUGAAUGUAUUCAGUUUCCGCGAUUUAUGUCAGCAAUUCCGUAAUCCUUCAUUUUACUUUCCUAGUGUUAAAUCCUGAUUUCAUAUGACGCAGCAACAUUUAUUAUGUAUUUCUGCUGAGUAAUUCCUCGAGAUUUUAAGUAAAACAUUGUUAUUUUGAUGUUUUAUCACAGUGCACAUGUACAUGUAUGUCAUAUUUCGAGGGCUGAACGCAACAGUACUAGUCUAACUUGAUUUUUUUUUUAAAAAUUACUUUUUGUCAUUUUUGGGUCUAAUUCUAUAAUAUACACCACUAAAAUACAUAUUACAAAUAGAUUACAAAUUUAAGGGAUUUAGGGGCCAGUUGGCAUUUUGCACUAACUGAAACACUGAUAUUUUUUAAUGCAACAGAGAGCUAACUUGAGUUAGCUCUACGUUGCAUUAAACUUUAAUUGUGUGACAAAGUUAUAGAACAGUGUUAUACUUAAAGUAUAACACUGUUCUAUCUUGAGUUAGCACAGUAUUGCUUUUUGGUCUUUCCAAUAUUAAUCAAUAUUAACAUGUACAGUGAAAAAGACUCAAUUGAAGGGGAUAUUUCAUAUACUGAAAUGCUAAAUAGCCUUAAAAGGAUGAAAGAUAAUACUAGCCCAGGUAAUGACGGCUUUACUGUAGAGUUUUUUAAUUUUUUUUGGAAUGAUAUUGGAAUGUUCCUGGUUAGAUCUGUGAAUCAUGCCUUUUCAACAGGAGAACUCUCAGUGACUCAAAAACAAGGAGUAAUAACUUGUAUUCCUAAAGGAAAUAAAGAUAAAACUUUACUGAAAAAUUGGAGACCUAUAUCCCUCUUAAAUGUUUCUUAUAAAUUAGCCUCAUCCUCAAUAGCAUUUAGAAUAAAAAAUACUUUGAAUAAUAUCAUAAAUGAAGACCAAACUGGAUUCAUACCAGGAAGACUUAUGGCUACAAAUAUAAGAUUACUAUAUGACAUUUUGCUUCAUACUGAAAAAUAUGAUGUUCCGGGAUUGUUAUUAUUGAUUGAUUUUGCUGCAGCUUUCGAUACCGUUUCAUGGAAAUUUAUGUUUGAAGUAUUGGAAUAUUUUAAUUUUGGUCCUACAAUUAGAAGGUGGAUUAAGCUUUUUUACACUAAUAUUGAAUCAUGUGUAAUUGUUAAUGGACAUAUGUCUGAGUGGUUCUUCUUGCAGAGAGGUUGUCGUCAAGGAGAUGCUUUGUCGCCCUAUCUUUUCAUUCUAUGUGCAGAAAUUUUAGCUAUCCUUAUAAGGAAAAAUCCAAAAAUAAAAGGAAUAAAAAUUAAUGGUUCAGAAAAUUUAAUUUCACAAUAUGCAGAUGACACAAGUCUUACACUUAAUUGAUCUAAAGAGUCCCUUUUUAAUACAAUGUUAGUUUUAAAAUUCUAUGGAAAGAUAUCAGGCCUUAAUAUUAAUACUGAUAAAACAAAAGUCAUAUGGUUUGGUUCUCGGAGAAACAGUCAACUGGUAAUGUGCCCUGAGUUCAAUCUCUCUUGGGGAAGUAAUGAGUUCACAUUAUUGGGGGUAAAAUUUUCCAUAAAUCUUAAUGAGAUAGUUAACUUAAACUAUAAUGAAAAAAUUGAAGAAAUCAAAACUUUACUGUCAAGCUGGUCAAAAAGAGUUAUCUCACCUAUGGGUAAACUAGUAGUUAUUAAGAGCCUAGCCUUAGCAAAACUUAACCAUUUGAUAUUAGGGAUUCCAAACCCCUCACAAGAAAAAAUUAUUCUUUUACAAAAUAUGUUUUAUAAAUUUUUAUGGAAUAAUGGCAAUGAUAAAGUUAAAAGAAACAUAAUUUCUCAAGAAUAUAGAUUUGGAGGACUCAAAAUGAUUGACCUGAAAAGUUUCAUGCAUAGUUUAAAAGCAACAUGGCUUAGAAGACUUCUAACAAUGAAUAAUAAAUUUAGUAAUUUAGUAGAAUUUAUUUGUCCUGCUUUAAAAUAUAUUUAUAUAAAUGGAACAGAUUUUACCAAAAGACUUUUACAUCAAGAUUUAAACCCUUUUUGGAAAGAUGUGAUACAUAGUUAUCACAAUCUCUCGUGUAAGGUAAUCCCUACCACUGGAAAAGCAUACGCCUUAAUAAAUUUAUGGAACAAUCCAGAUAUAAGGGUUGGAGGCUCUAGUGUUUUUUUUAUAAAAGAUGGCAGACAGCUGGUGUUAUUUUUAUAGGUGAUCUACUUAAUGCACAAGAUGAGUUUUACACAUAUAGAGAAUUUUGCAAUACUUUUAAUGCUAGAACAAACUUUCUUGAGUAUAAUGACCUUAUCGCAUCAGUUAGACAUUUUUUGGAAAGUAAGGGUGUUCAUAAUAUACGAAAAACUUGCAAUCCAGUCAUGCCUACCUGUCUGUCAAUUAUUACAAAAGACAGUAAAGGAUGUAAAAAUAUUUACAAAUAUUUUAGAUCAAAAGAGGAGUUUCCAAAAUCACUGCAAAAAUGGAAAGAUGAUUUUUAUAACAAUACAGGUAUUGUGCUUGAUGAAAUAAAAUAUGACAGAGUUUUCAGGAUUACCAAAGACUCUAAACUCCACUGGCUGCAGUAUAGAAUUAAUCAUAGGAUAUUAGCUACAAACCAUCUAUUGAAAAAAAUGAACAUUUCUCAGGAUGAGACAUGUAGCUUCUGUAAAAAUGAGCAAGAAACUUUAAUUCAUCUUUUUUGGAAAUGUGAUGUAAUCAAACAAUUCUGGUCACAAUUAUUGACAUAUAUAAAUAGUAGUUGUAAUACAAACAUAGUAGAAUUGAGUGCCUCAGAUAUAUUAUUUGGCAGUGAUAAAUACGACAGAAUAAUGAAUAUGCUCCUUCUUUCAGCCAAGCAGUUUUUAUACUACAAUAGAGUUAAGGGUCAAAUACCAUUAUUAGAAGUGUUCAAAAGACAAAUAGUUUUGUUUUACCAGACCGAAAAAUAUACGGCCUCUCAAGUACUUAACUUGACAAAAUUUCAAACAGACUGGGAAAAAUAUAAAAAUUUAGUAGAAUAAACGUACUGUAUUAUAAGUAAAAUUUAUCUUACAGCAACUGUUAAACAUUGAUUUUGUUUAACCUCCAAUUACCAUGCUGGUUAGAUUAGGUUGGUCCAUCCUUGAUUUUUAGAGCAGUUCAUGGCAAAAUCUACGGACCAUCACGAUAAAAAUGCAAUUUUAGCAGCCCGAGGUGCAGAUCCUGAUCAGGCUGCACUGAGGCGCAGAACGGCCUGGCUCUGCACCGAUGGCAAUCCUUUAUAAUUCAGUUUAAAGAAGUUAAAGGUUGAAUUACAUUGAUAAUAAAAGAAAAAUGAUAUCUUUGAGCAACUGUUAUAGGCAAAUGGUUUUGGAUUUUUCUCUUGCUGACACUUAGUUGAGUUUUUGUGUUUUGUUUUGUCUUUUGUGUGUAUAAGUAACCCUCUGGACAGUCCACAGGCAGAGUGUCGUUUCUUGGAAAAUCAUCAAUAUAAUACAAUAUGCUAUAUAUAUAUAUAUAUAAGUAUAAACAGGGUUCCGACUUCCACUUUGUCUCUUAUUUUUAAACUGUUUCCUAAAAUCCUCGAUUCUACAUGCAAUGACUAUAUAGUUGCUUGGGAUGCCCACUUUUAAACCUUUUUUCUUUUUUGGAACCCUGUAGACACUGAAUAAGGAAGUAAGACAGUUUGGUUCACACUUAGGCCUUUUUGUACUUUUUUCUUUCUUUUUUCUUGGCAGAGGCCCUUUUUCCCUCUGUUUGGGACCUCUUGUUCUCUAAUGAGAGGCUUAUAGACUAAGAGAAAUAAUAAGACUGGCUUAAAAUUACAUAAUGACAUACAUUUUGGUCUGUUUUAUGAAAGAUAAAUAAGCUGCUUGAUAAUACCUCUCUCUCUAUUAAAAAAUCCCCUUUUUCUAGGAUUGAAAAUUUUUAGAACUAUUUUGUAAGAUUAAUCCUUUUGAACAAGGCAUUAAAUAUAUUGAUUAACAUGUGAACUAGGUAUUGUAGUUAAACUGAUUUAUAAAUCAUUGUGAACUAGGUAUUGAAUAGUUUGAUAACAUUGUUACUACACUAAGUAUAUACUAUGCGCUGAAAUUUGUUUAACUUAUAUCUAUGUUUAUAUUAUGUCUGUAAGAUGUGAUGCGGGAUGGGUCCCCGACCCCAUCACAUCAUGGACAGGGAUAAUAAAUGGGCCCCUUGUGGGCUGAAAUUAAAAAACAAAACAAAAAAAACAUGUACAGUGUUCUAAGAAUAAGUGAUGUCAUCCUUGUUUAUACUUGAUGACAUCAUAAUAUUCCUUUAAAGAAAGCUUGGCUGGCUCAGAUUCACAGUCUACACGCCAUGUACCCGGAUAAUCUUAACUCUGUUCAGCGACCCUAACUCAGUGCCAACAUGGCGGAUGUAAAGCCGAUACAACUUUGUUUUCUGUGUAAUUACGAUGUAUAAAGGAAUUUUCUGUUGUUAUAUCCAUCUCCAUUGAUCAAGUAUAUAUUUAGUUCAAAAUGUAUCAUGUUAAAUAUAUCAAUCAUUGUGUUUUCAGGUGGAAAAACGACGAACAAGGCAACUUUUUCAAUGAAAACUUUUACAAAAAAUCUUUAAAAAUGCUUCUAUGCCUUUGAUGCCUCGACUAUUUUGUUGUUUGAAAGCAAAGAUAUACUGCUUUAUAGGCCCGUUUACACUAUGUUGUUAACCCACUACAUGUUGACACAAUACAUGUUCAAAUGUACCGACAGCGAGAAAAGGGAUAAAAACCUAACUUUGAUUUGAUAAAAACCGAACUCAGUAUAAAUGAGGAAUCCUCAUAAAAACCUAACUUACACGAAAUUGCGUGACGGAUAAACACCUAACUGACUAGUAUUCUAUAGAAAUGAAUGAGUUGACAUGUACAUGGUCUGAUUAUUGUAAACAUUACUUUAUAAGCGGUAUUGUCUUCAAACUUUGUCAUUAAUUUUACAAGAUGUUAUAUGUAUGCCAACUACAGUCAAAUAUUUUUUCAUAAUUUUAAUAUUAUGCAAAUAGCAAUGUUUGGAAAAAUCUGGAUAAACCCUCAAAAAUAACUCUGUAUAAAAGUCAAAAUUAUUAUACUUAUAUAAGAAAUUAUUUAAUACCACCGAUGUUCGAAGUUCUGUAGUCCCCAACCCUCUCUCCCUCCAUCUCUCUCUCUCUCUCUCUCCCCUCUCUCUCUCUCUCUCUCUCUCUCUCUCUCUCUCUCUCUCUCUCUAUCUCUCGCACGCACGCACGCACGCACGCAUGCACACACACACACUGUUUCAGAAGAAUUGUGUUUGUUUCAAAUCUUGUAUAUCGUAUAGUGUAAGAGAUUUUUAUAGAGGUGCUAAUGGAAUAUUUUUGAUAUUGUUUAAAUUGGAUUAGAUGUAUGAUUAAUUAUUAAAUAUGAUCUUUUUCAGACGGUAAAUAGGGAAGAAAUGUGUGUGGUGUGGUGGGGGGAAUGAUGCAUGGACUGACGGAACAGGGGUGUGGGUAUCCUUACAUUUUUCACUUGUCCACGGACACUUAAAAACCCAUUUGUCCAUAGUCAAAUUUCACUUGCUCUGAUUUGUAAUAUUAAACCUUCAUGAAAGCGCAAAUAGACUGGAGAUCGAGGUCAUUAUUUAGGACAAUAAAAUAGAAAAGCAUAUCUCAGUAACAGUGGUAAAAAAUAAGCUGUUGAAAUAUUUGCCUUUUAACGUUUAUAAAAGUCUGAAAUCGCGUAAGCAGUGUUCGGGAUCUUUUGGGAUCAAACACUGCCCACGCAAUGGUGCAAAGCCAGAUGAAUUCAGAGAAAGACUCUUAAAACUUUCCGACUUAUUUUAGUCAUACUUGCGAUCUCUGUGUGCUUUUGAUUUUAAUUUGGCUGACUACUGGCUCAAAUAUUUCCAUUGACAGUGACUUAUUGUCUCAGCAGUUGGAAUUCUACUUACAAACUUGUCAUAAUCCUUUUUUAAGUUGUUUACGUUUCUGAUGUUUCUGUCCUUUUAGUUCUCUGUGUGUAACCCUUGUUUUCCCUUUUUAGUUUUAGUUACAGAAUGCUAUAUGCUGAUGAUGCAAAUAUUUUUCUUCAGCUACUUUAAGUAGUUCUUAUGUUCCCUUUAGCAUGUAUACAUAUGAUUUCUUCUUUUAUGUUGUUUUUUAAAUGCAUGUUGUAAAAUGUGACUCUUCUUAUUUUUGUGUAGUGUCAGCUAAUCUUUUUUAUGCCCCCGAAGGGAGGCAUAUAGUUUUUGAACCGUCUGUCAGUCUGUCAGUCUGUCAGUCUGUCCGCAAUUUUCGUGUCCGGUCCAUAUCUUUGUCAUCGAUGGAUGGAUUUUCAAAUAACUUGGCAUGAAUGUGUACCACAGUAAGACGACGUGUCGCGCGCAAGACCCAGGUCCGUAGCUCAAAGGUCAAGGUCACACUUAGACUUUAAAGGAUAGUGCAUUGAUGGUCCAUAUCUUUGUCAGCCAUGGAUGGAUUUUCAAAUAACUUGGCAUGAAUAUGUACCACAGUAAGACGACGUGUCGCACGCGAGACCCAGGUCCGUAGCUCAAAGGUCAAGGUCACACUUAGACGUUAAAGGAUAGUGCAUUGAUGGGCGUGUCCGGUCAAUAUCUUUGUCAUCCAUGGAUGGAUUUUCAAAUAACUUGGCAUGAAUGUGUACCAAAGUAAGACGACAUGUCGUGCGCAAGACCCAGGUCCGUAGCUCAAAGGUCAAGGUCACACUUAGACGUUAAAGGUCAUUUUUCAUGAUAGUGCAUUGAUGGGCGUAUCCGGUCCAUAUCUUUGUCAUUCAUGCAUGGAUUUUAAAAUAACUACGCAUGAAUGUGUGACACAGUAAGACGACGUGUCGCUCGCAAGACCCAGCUCCGUAGGUCAAAGGUCCUAAACUCUAACAUCGGCCAUAACUAUUCAUUCAAAGUGCCAUCGGGGGCAUGUGUCAUCCUAUGGAGACAGCUCUUGUUUUAUGUUGCUUUAAAUGUGCUAAAUCUGUAUGUGAUAAAUUACUUUUUCCUUUUAUUUGCAAGUACCUAUGUGCUAUUUUGUUUUAAUGCGCUGUAACAUGUAUGUGAUACUUUGUGAUUUGUUUCUUAUUUACUUAGAGCCAGAUGCUUUAUUUGCUUUAAUGUGCUUUAACAUAUUUGCAUUUUAUUACAGCUGUUUUACUUAUGUUGAGCUUAUUUACAUGUGUUUGUCGGAAAAUAGCUUUAAGCUAGUGUUAUAUGUUUAUACUUAUCCGACGUUAAAUAAAUCUUCUUGUAUCUAAA